rnacentral:rRNA from 1 species
GACGAACGCUGGCGGCGUGCUUGACACAUGCAAGUCGAACGGUAAGGCCCCUCGGGGUACACGAGUGGCGAACGGGUGAGUAACACGUGGGUGAUCUGCCCUGCACAUCGGGAUAAGCCUGGGAAACUGGGUCUAAUACCGGAUAGGACCACUGCCUGCAUGGGUGGUGGUGGAAAGCUUUUGCGGUGUGGGAUGGGCCCGCGGCCUAUCAGCUUGUUGGUGGGGUGAUGGCCUACCAAGGCGACGACGGGUAGCCGGCCUGAGAGGGUGACCGGCCACACUGGGACUGAGAUACGGCCCAGACUCCUACGGGAGGCAGCAGUGGGGAAUAUUGCACAAUGGGCGCAAGCCUGAUGCAGCGACGCCGCGUGAGGGAUGACGGCCUCCGGGUUGUAAACCUCUUUCAGCACCGACGAAGCGCAAGUGACGGUAGGUGCAGAAGAAGGACCGGCCAACUACGUGCCAGCCGCCGCGGUAA